rnacentral:misc_RNA from 1 species
AGGUUCAGUCCUCCCAGGCCCACCACUUCCUUUCGAUACGAAGGUUAUCAGGGGCCGUAGCUCAGCUGGGAGAGCGCCUGCUUUGCAAGCAGGAUGUCGUCGGUUCGAUCCCGUCCGGCUCCACCAACCAUCUUCUGCGAAGAUGGGGCGUGUCGAGUAGAGACGGUGAGAAAAAAGUCAUUCGAAAAAGAGUUUGCGUCGAGCCCUGUGCUCUGCGCCUGUUCUGUUUGACAUCGUAAAGAGAAGAUUUGUUCGAACUUCAUGAGCCGCAAGGUCUCAUGAUUUGUCGCUGGAGACGCUCAAUCUCCAGCAUAUGAUGGGUUUGCCUAACCGCGCCCUCGAACGGAUCUCGAGAAGCUGGUCUUUUUGUGCCAAUUCCAUUGAAGCAGAUCCCGCACAGGAUCUGGUUCGAGGCGACGAUCCCUGCGGGAUCGCGCUUAGCCAAUCCCGCAAGGGGUUUGGCUUGAACGACGAUCCCUUCGGGAUCGCGUGAUGGGUAUUGGCAAUGAGAACGAUCAAGUGUCUUAAGGGCAAUUGGUGGAUGCCUUGGCAUGCACAGGCGAUGAAGGACGUGAUACGCUGCGAUAAGCUACGGGGAGGUGCGAAUACCCUUUGAUCCGUAGAUCUCCGAUGG